GCACAAGCGGUGGAUGAUGUGGUUUAAUUCGAUGCAACGCGAAAAACCUUACCCACCUUUGACAUGGCAGGAAUCCCGAAGAGAUUUGGGAGUGCUCGAAAGAGAACCUGCACACAGGUGCUGCAUGGCUGUCGUCAGCUCGUGUCGUGAGAUGUUGGGUUAAGUCCCGCAACGAGCGCAACCCUUGCCAUUAGUUGCUACGAAAGGGCACUCUAAUGGGACUGCCGGUGACAAACCGGAGGAAGGUGGGGAUGACGUCAAGUCCUCAUGGCCCUUAUAGGUGGGGCUACACACGUCAUACAAUGGCCGGUACAGAGGGUAGCCAACCCGCGAGGGGGAGCCAAUCCCACAAAGCCGGUCGUAGUCCGGAUCGCAGUCUGCAACUCGACUGCGUGGAGUCGGAAUCGCUAGUAAUCGCGGAUCAGCAUGUCGCGGUGAAUACGUUCCCGGGUCUU
rnacentral:rRNA from 1 species